GGAAUCUUAGACAAUGGGCGCAAGCCUGAUCUAGCCAUGCCGCGUGAGCGAUGACGGCCUUAGGGUUGUAAAGCCCUUUCACCGGGGAAGAUAAUGACGGCACCCGGAGAAGAAGCCCCGGCUACCUCCGUGCCAGCAGCCGCGGUAAGACGGAGGGGGCUAGCGUUGUUCGGAAUUACUGGGCGUAAAGCGCGAGUAGGCGGGCUGUUAAGUCGGGGGUGAAAUCCCGGGGCUCAACCCCGGAACUGCCUUCGAUACUGGCAGCCUGGAGUCCGAGAGAGGUGAGUGGAAUUCCGAGUGUAGAGGUGAAAUUCGUAGAUAUUCGGAGGAACACCAGUGGCGAAGGCGGCUCACUGGCUCGGUACUGACGCUGAGGUGCGAAAGCGUGGGGAGCAAAC
rnacentral:rRNA from 1 species